AGAGUUUGAUCCUGGCUCAGGAUGAACGCUGGCGGCGUGCCUAAUACAUGCAAGUCGAACGAGGUGCUUUUGUAGCAAUACGAGAGUAUCCUAGUGGCGAACGGGUGAGUAACGCGUUGGUGACCUACCCCAAAGUGUGGGAUAACAGUCCGAAAGGAUUGCUAAUACCGCAUGUGGUCAUUGGGUUUAGAAACUGAUGACUAAAGGAGCAAUUCGCUUUGGGAGGGACCUGCGUCCCAUCAGCUAGUUGGUGAGGUAACGGCUCACCAAGGCGACGACGGGUAGGGGACCUGAGAGGGUGGCCCCCCACAAUGGAACUGAAACACGGUCCAUACACCUACGGGUGGCAGCAGUAGGGAAUAUUGCUCAAUGGGCGAAAGCCUGAAGCAGCAACGCCGCGUGUGUGAUGAAGGCCUUCGGGUCGUAAAGCACUUUUCUGGGAGAUGAGAAAGGACAGUAUCGUAGGAAUAAGUCUCGGCUAACUACGUGCCAGCAGCCGCGGUAACACGUAGGAGGCGAGCGUUAUCCGGAUUCACUGGGCGUAAAGCGCGUGCAGGCGGUUUGGUAAGUUGGGCGUGAAAGCUCCCGGCUCAACUGGGAGAGGUCGUUCAAUACUACCGAACUAGAGAAUAGAAGAGGAAGAUGGAAUUCCCGGUGUAGUGGUGAAAUGCGUAGAUAUCGGGAGGAACACCAGUGGCGAAGGCGAUCUUCUGGUCUAUUUCUGACGCUCAGACGCGACAGCUAGGGUAGUAAACGGGAUUAGAGACCCCGGUAAUCCUAGCCGUAAACGAUGUGAACUUGGCGUCGGUGGCUUAAACACCAUCGGUGCCGAAGCAAACGCGAUAAGUUCACCGCCUGGGGACUACGGCCGCAAGGUUAAAACUCAAAGGAAUUGACGG
rnacentral:rRNA from 1 species